GGGCCGCUCUCGCAGCAUAUGGAGGUUCCCAAGCUAGGGGUCUAAUCGGAGCUGUUGCUUCCAGCCUAUGCCAGAGCCACAGCAACGCGGGAUCCAAGUCGUGUCUGCGACCCACACCACAGCUCAUGGCAACACGGGAUCCUUAACCCACUGAGCAAGGCCAGGGAUCAAACCCACAUCCUAGUCGGAUUCGUUAACCACUGAGCCACACGGGAACUCCACACUCAUUUCUUUAGAGUCAUAAAAGAAAGUGUACUUUUUAAAAUUAUAGGCACACUAUUAACUCUUAUCCAAAUCUUUUUAAACUAAAAAUUCAUUAAUUUGAAUAAUUUGACCCAAAACGUACACAUCUCAGCCUUCAUGUGAACAAUUACAUGUCUGCCUCAUAAUUGAUGCAUAUUCCUUAUCUGAAGUAUUUCUCAAUUAAGAAAUUCCACAAAGACAUGUAUACUAUGUGCAUAUUUUCAGCCCCUAGAAUAUUUGGCAGAGGACAAUUUAAAAUUAUCAAAUAUUCAUCAACAGUCUUCACCGGCACCAAAGGAAAGAUGAUAGUCACUGAGUUUACAUAAUAUCCACCUGGCUCAAACUAAACUGAGCAAAACAGCCAAGAAUGCAAAAGCCUGAUUGAGCACAUAAUUUACCAUAAAAAACAGCUUUCAAAUAAAUCUAGAUUCAAUGUUGCCUCUCUAGUCGAUAUGCCCGCAAUUGCUUACUCGGCACACCCCUUCCUAAGGGAGGUCUCAGCCUACCUCCCAAUCUCUUUUGUCUUUCCUCCUGGCUCUUCCCCAUCACUUCAGGGCUGCUAAUCUACCGGCCCACUCUCUUUCUUUACUACCUGCUUGGAAACACAAUGAAAUCAUCUAGAGAGUUUUCAAAAUGUCUAGAUGUCUAGGUUGCUUCCCCAAAGAUUCUAUUUCCAUAGAUCAAGGGGAUGGCCGAGACCCAGGGCCGUGUGCUCCACAGGGAAAGAUGCUCAAGGGUCCACAGCAGCGGGGCUCCAGGCUCAUCUUCCCUUCACCACCACCUCCACUGUCCUCUGGACAACUCAAAAUCUAUUAAGAAGGAGAUCUGCUGUUAUUUCUAAGUGCUCUUUCUAGCACUUUGCUUUUCAGCGCAGUGGAUCUCAACAAGGGGGCUCUUUUGCAAUUUGGCGUGGCCUACAGGUGUUUUUGGUUGUCACAACUGAGAAUAUGCUACUGGCAUCUAGUGUGUAGAGGCCAGAGAUGCUGCUAAACAACCUGUAGUGCACCAACCAGCAUCCCCGCUACAAAAAAUCAUCCGGUCCAAAACGGCAAUAUUGCUGACGUUUAGAAAGUGCUUUGCCUGAAGCCUUUUUUCCUUCCUUAAUCACUCUGCUCACAUUAAUCAUUGAACAAAUAUAUCCAUUUCUCCCAAUUCAUCCUCCUCACCCCAGCUGUCUCCAGAGCCUCCCUAACCAUCCUUCUUUUCUAAUUCUAAUCACCUGCUGGAGUCAAGCGCUCCCCAAAUUAUUACAAAUAUCUACCAUCCCCAUAACAUUCUUGUUCCCUCCCAGCUGUAUUCCCUUUCAGUCCUAUAUUUCUGAUCAUCUUUAAUAAGGCCAAAGUACAGAAGGAUGGUUCCUCUAACAGCUGGUCCUCAUUGUCUCCCGUCCUUCAAGAAAACGAAACCUUUCACCCCAUAUGGUGCCUAUCAAGGGCCAGUGUUCCUCUCCAAGAUCUAAUGUUCUGUAUUUGUUGUCUCUCCCACCAACCACCUGACCCCCGUCUUUUUUAUUAUCUCCCUUCUGCUGUUCCCACCUCCCUUUUCGCAAAUGUUUGCAGUGAGCUUCCAGUAACCUAACUACCCCUCCCCAUUUUUUUAUCAAUCUUCCGCCUCAAUCCUACAGCUGGUCAGACAUUUUAUUCUCGUAGACCACUUAAAGCUCUCACACACCUUCACAAAGAAAUUUCCAUUUUCCUCUUUUCCAUUCCAAUUCUUUAGAAAGGUGGGUCAUGAUGGAGACAUAACUGGUGCUCCUACAAACGCAUGCCAUCCAGUUUUACCCAGGUCUUCGAUGAACUGAGCAAUCAAUUUAAUUUAUUGCUGUACUGUCUUCACAUUCCCCUCAGGGCCUGCCCCAAACCUAGGUCUCACUCACACAUCAUGUUGUUUCUUAAUCUACCAUGAGGAAUAGGGCCAUUCACCUUGGUACUUAACAUCUAGAGAGACACAAACUCUAUCCUAUAAGGUUGACAUGCCCUCAGAACGUACUCAAGUCCAUCUACUGAAAGGAUGAAAAUGCAACCUAACCCUCCCAGAACCCAGGAAGUUAAUAAAAAGCUCUAAAUGCCCCCGAAUUCCAGACCCUGCUCGCUGCCAGUAAAUAGGUAGAAGGUCACACUUCCUAUUGUUCUAGGGCCUGCUAUCCUGGCCUAAGUAAGAUAACAGGAAAUGAGUUGACUAAUCGCUUAUCUGGAUUCUGUAAAACUGACUAGCGCCAUAGAAGAAUUGAUUACACAUUGAAAGCCCUAGUGACCUAUCUUAAAUCUGUCACUCUGCCCAGGAGCCUACGCAGAUGCGGACCUCCGGAGCUAUUUUAAAAUGAUUGGUCCACGGAGCGCGGGCUUUCGCUAUUUUAAAUUGAUUGGUCCACGGACGCGGGCUUUCACUAUUUUAAAUUGAUUGGUCCACGGAGCUCGGGCUUUUGCUAUUUUAAAUUGAUUGGUCCACGGAGCACGGGCUGUCGCUAUUUUAAAAUGAUUGGUCCACGGAUCUCAAUAUUUUAAAAUGACUGGUUUGCGACGCACAGGCUUUGUUGUAAACCCCAUAAAAGCUGUCCCGAUUCCGCACUCGGGGCCGCAGUCCUCUACCCCUGCGUGGUGUACGACUGUGAGCCCCAGCGCGCUUGGAAUAAAAAUCCUCUUGCUAUUUGCAUCAAGACCGCUUCUCGUGAGUGAUUUGGGGUGUCGCCUCUUCCGAGCCCGGACGAGGGGGAUUGUUCAUUUACUGGCCUUUCACUACAAACUACACCCUGAACCCCUUCCUGGCCCUACUUCACCUCCCAUUUUCCCACUAUUUGCCAGUCAGACUCUUUGUUGUCACACACACCUGCCCAUUAAUUCUCACCAUUUUGCUACUAUCUUUUCUUCCUCCUGCAAUUCUCUUUUCUCUAGUCUCCGGCUAUGGAAACCUUAACUGUCCAACACCAGCCCUUCCUACCUUGGGAGAUGAGCCUAUGAGGAGAAAACUUGUAGCCUCUCCCAAGUCUCCUUAGUACUUCAUUCUUACUUCUCUUACAGUACGUACCCAUCCUGUACUAUACUUACUGCAGGGAUCUGCACUCUGUUACUCUCAGUUGUCCUAUCAUUAAAUAUCUUUGACAGAGGUCCAACUUGUUUCCAUUACCCAAAUCCACUCUUGACUUUUCCUACUUUGUAUUACAUACACAUAUAUGUGCACUUAUAUGUUUAUGUAUCUUAACCAUAUAUUAUAGCAUAUAUAUACAUGCAUGUCUUCAAAUGUUCCUGAAUUCACAGUAUCUGAAUUAAAAGUACUGAUAAGCAAUUGACUAGACUUCAAUAAAUAAAUAAAUAUUACCAAUAAGCAGAAACUCUUGAUGAAAUGGUAGAUACAACCCCCCGCCCCCCCGCACAAAAGAAAUGAAAAAUUUAUCAGCAAUUUUUUGCCUAUGUUUUAUGGAUCAGGUGGAGAGG
rnacentral:lncRNA from 1 species